ensembl:lncRNA
AUGAAUUUGGGCACAGUACCGGGUGAGUUCACAGUUCUUUGUAUUCAAUGGAUAAAUGGAAGGCAAAUGCAUUCAGAUCAAUACUAUGCCAUAAGAGGGGCCCAGAGUGUGCAAGCGAGGAGGGGGAAUUGGUGGAAUUGGACAAUGGAGCCACUGAUUAAUCAUUCCUGUGCUGUUAUUGACUUUCUGGUAAAGGGACAGGAUGAAGAGCUUGACUGUGUGUUAACAGCACAUGAUAAUGGGCAUCCCACAGGGUGUUAAAUACAGACACAUAUCAGCCAACCAGACAAAACACAGGAGGUUGUCGGACAAGAGCUAGGGGGAAGGGAAGUGUCACAUUUCCCCAGCUUUGACAUCUGACCUUCUGGCUGUGACCUUGUACAUUGUCUGAGAGGGCAGACGGGCACAGCUGAGUACAAAUCACCCCCUUCACCAAAGGAUGAUGCUGUAUGAUCAUUCACGCAUUCCAGAUAAUCUGUGACUCCUUUAUUGUCUAACUAUUUCCCUUGUUCUAUCUACCUGCCUCUGUUCUCUGUUGAUAAAUAUCUAUUGUGUCAGCUUUUUACUGGUUAACUUUGCAUAAGAAUUCAAAUCCACUGGUAGAAAAUCAGGCCAGGCUGAAAUCUACAGCAUGGUGUGAAGCCAACAUACUCAGAGUUCACUAAGUGAUUCUUUUUCCAGUAUUCAAGUCAUUAAUGCACACAAAGUGAGAGCAUUUGAGAAGGUUUCAUCAUAUUAAUUAGGAAAUACUACUGCUGAAGUACUAUCAACAAUAAUUUAAGAGUCAAACACGCUCUCACUGUGACCAAACAUAACAGUAGAACUGAACACAUCAUACUAUAUCUCAAAAUGUUUACUUGUAACUACUGAUCUUAUUCUUACUCUACCAUGUUUUUUAAUUCGCCAUUAAACUUCACCUUGUGCUUGAACAAUGCACAAGUGUUUGCACUUGAUCCGUUUCCUGACCUUUCUUUGCUCUAAGCAAACGUCCCGAGAAGGGAACCAUGGUUACGGCUUUCAUCUUACAGUCUGGUUCCUCUAAACUGCAUGCACCCAAAAGCCACAGCUGCUUUUUAAACAAUCAAGUCGUUUUCCUCAUUCAUUCCUCCAUAAAAAGGCAAAUGCAAUCUAAUGCCACCAUGACUGUUCCUCAAAGGCCUUAAGAAUCCCCCAAAAAAUGUUUCUUAUGAAGCCUCUGGGUGUUCAAUGCUGUUUUGAAGAGUCUGCUGUCUUUGUGUGUGGUUCUACACUGAGAGAUACUGGGCUGAAAGCUUCAACAAAGCCUAUAUUUUUAAUUAUCAGCUAAACUACUUUAAAAGCAUUUAAUACUCAAUAUGUUAACAUGGUUAAUUCUCAGUAUGUUAAUAUGUUAAAGGCACAAUAAUAUGACUACUGAAAAAGUAAAAUAAUGAAAUAUAUAUAUAUAUAUAUAGAGAGAGAGAGAGAGAGAGAGAGAGGGAGGGAGAGAGAGAGAGAGAGAGAAUACAACCUGUACAAAAGUUUGCAUUCAAAAAAAAAACUUACUUAGACCUAAUAACCUACUUAAGACUGGAAUAAUGACUGCUGAAAUUUUGCCAACACAGAAAUUAAUUACAUUUUAAAAUAUAUUAAAAUAAAAAAGUUAUUGUUUAAUGUUUAAUGUCA